GGACCCGCACAAGCGGUGGAGCAUGUGGUUUAAUUCGAAGCAACGCGAAGAACCUUACCAGGUCUUGACAUCCCUUGACAACUCCAGAGAUGGAGCGUUCCCUUCGGGGACAAGGUGACAGGUGGUGCAUGGUUGUCGUCAGCUCGUGUCGUGAGAUGUUGGGUUAAGUCCCGCAACGAGCGCAACCCUUAUUACUAGUUGCCAGCAUUCAGUUGGGCACUCUAGUGAGACUGCCGGUGACAAACCGGAGGAAGGUGGGGAUGACGUCAAAUCAUCAUGCCCCUUAUGACCUGGGCUACACACGUGCUACAAUGGCGUAUACAACGAGUUGCCAACCCGCGAGGGUGAGCUAAUCUCUUAAAGUACGUCUCAGUUCGGAUUGUAGGCUGCAACUCGCCUACAUGAAGUCGGAAUCGCUAGUAAUCGCGGAUCAGCACGCCGCGGUGAAUACGUUCCCGGGUCUU
rnacentral:rRNA from 1 species